rnacentral:lncRNA from 1 species
GCGUGUUUUUUUUUUGUGAUCUCUUGAUGUGAUCGAUCCUGUGGGCGAGUUCCAACAACGGUCACCACUGACUCCGAUCUACCACCGUCCAGUGCAGCACUAAAAUCUCAUCACUGGGUUCAUGAUCAGUGAGGGACGUGGGCAUUAUUUUGGUCUUCUGCCAUUCGAUGGCGCAUUUUAGUAUCUGCACUGCAGAGGUGAGAGUACAAAAUAACAGUUGUGAGGAACACAUGGAUCAGUGUGGCUCUAUUGGUUUAUUAAGAUUUGUAAUUUUGGUGUGUGUUUUGUAUACGAAGUUGUUGUGGAUCAAGUAAUUUAAUCAAGUCCAUUUGAGUCAAUGGAAUUACCGAACGUGUUGUCUUCUUUUUGGCUUGAUCUUGUUCUACUGUGUGUGCUCUGGAUUGACCUUCUUAGGCUUGUUUCUGUGGUGUAGAGAGCCAGGUUUGUCUAUUACUUGUGCUGGUGGCUUUGGCUAUAGGUUGGUGAGUUUAAAGACUGAUGUUUGCUCUUUAGGCCUGGUUUGGCUAUGGUCUGGUUGCCUGCGUGUAGUUCAUGUUUUUCCUAAUGUUUUAGGGUUGCUUUUACUUUCAGUGUUAUUUUCUCUAGUUCAUGUAAUAAGCAGCAGGCAUGUUGCAUGCCAGCGCCACGAGGCAAUGCCAGAAGCGCUAUUCGGCUACAGCAUCACAGCCAAAGGGCGUCCAUCGUGAAGGCAACAAUUAUAUGAAGCAUCACUUCCUGUAGGUCAGGUAGCAUAAUAUUUCAAACAAUGGAAGUAAAUGCAUACAAACUACUCCCUCCGUCCCAUACUGUGUAAAAAACGCUCUUAUAUUACGAGACGGAGGGAGUACAUUAUAUCCCUAACAAAUAAGAGGCAAAAUAGACAGGUGUGGUAAUGUGCGCCAUCAAUGAUGUAGUACACUCUAGAACAGUUGGACAAUUACUAAGUUUAACAAUCAUAUUUUCUGAACCUAUAUUAGGAUAUUUGUUUAACUAAUGAAGUAGAAUCCAUUAUGAAGAUAUUUAUAUAUGUCGUGCACACACACACACACACACACACACACACACACACACACACACCAUAAUUUAUUACCUUUUUUACAUUUGUUUAUGAUUUGUUAUAAGUUGAAUCAAUUCUACAAUAUGCCUCAAACUAAAAUUUGAACAAAAAGGAGACAAUUGCAUGAUUAAUUUUAUCCCAGAUUUUUAAAAGAUUGACAUGUGAUUUUAUAACAAUAAAUUUUGAUUAUUUUACAUACCUACUCGUUUGUGUGAAUAAUAUUGCUAGAUACAAUUGAAACAAAUAGUGUUGAUCAUUGUAUGGCAUAUGUUAUAUUGAUUCAAAAUAGGGUUGAGAUUCAGUGGCAAUUAGAUACCAAGAAGUACAAGUGUUUAAUAUAAAAUGCGGGAUUUGGUGGUCGCCACCUCUCGUUCGUGGUUGAUUUGCGGUACAAAGUGGUAUAUUUUAUCUCCGCUCUACAAAUAUGUUAUAUACUAACAGAACAAGUAUAAUAUGGAGGACGGCGAUUCAAUGCACGGGCAUGUGGCCGGUAUCGUGUGCGUUUGAUCCGGUGUGGGGAUUUGGAAAAAUGCUGACGUGGGACAGGUUUUAGCAGUUGAAAAAUCGCGUAUACAUGAGGAGUCGUAGGAACAGUGAUGUAUGGCGGGACCAAACCGUAGGUGGCAGGCGAGAUUAAUGGGGUGGGCGGAGAGAGGCGUCGAGUCCGAAGUUAUAGGCCGUGGCUCAGGAAUGUGAGGAAAAUCAUUGGCAUGGGGACGGAAUGUGCACCUGAUAGGGUCGGGGGUUGUCGAACUUAAUCAAAACGUGGUUUUCCCGUGUGUCCCGUGCACACCACUAAAGCUACAUAAGUUGUUCUUCGAAAAAAAACUAUAUAAGUUGUUCGUUUCGGUUCUUCUUAGAUGAGCUGGGUUUAUUUUUUGCAAAAAGAUCAGAUUUAUUAUAAAGAUUCCCCACAAAGCCGCCUGAUUGUGCGACGCUGCCGAUUUCAUUUGCUGCUAGCAAUGGGGGUGAUUAUGGGGGUGUUGCUGAAACACCUACCCACCCGAAGUGCGGAAGGUUCGAUCGUGUGUGUGCGUGUGGAAGGACCAUUCAAAGAUGAUCCGUUAAAUUUAGAUGAGAUGAUUCCAGUAAUACACUACCACGUUGUUCCAUCGGCGUCCUCCUCAGAUGCACCAAACGAUCAUCGACGUCCUCCUCCGAGGAGGAUCGCCUGGAGCAAUUAAACUAAUAAGUUGGAACUGUCGGGGUCUCUUGGGAACCCCGACGGUUCUUUUGCUUCUGGACAUCCAGAGGUGACAUAAUUCAGAUGCGUUUUUUCUGUCUGAAACGCAUUUGGAUGAGGAUAGGGCAGCUUGAGAAGGAAAAUGAGGAUGGAUUACAAAAUCGUUGCGCCAAGCCUUGAUGGAAGGAAAGGUGGUUUGCUUUUAGUCUGGAAGAAGGAGGUGAGGAUCUACUCCGGGACUACCACUUUUAGUGUCAUCAAUGUGAUGGUGGAGGAAUCAAAUGGAAGAGAAUGAAGGCUUUAGGGAUUGUAUGGGGAGCCGAGUUGGGAUCAUACGUACCAGCUAAUACUUGCAUGCUCAAUCUAAUCUCCUGUGGGUGGUCAUUGGUGAAUUUAAUGAGAUUCUAUUCUCGACAGAAAAGGAGGGAGGUGCGCCACGGAGCAAGCGCUAAGAUGUGCUUCGAAAGGCACAUAAUCUUCAUCUCCUACAGAUAUCUGCAACAUCUGCUGAUUUUAAUUCCCUGAUGUGCAGUUUGGUAAAUCCUACUCAUCUUUGCUAUCUAAAGCUCGGAGUCGUUAAGGUGCAUGAGGGUUUGCCUCAAGUUUGGAGCAAGUUUUGCCAUCUUCAAGUAUUAGAUUCUUUGUCUGGACGCUGCUGCAGAACAGACUUUGGACUGCAAAUCGACUGCUUGUGAGAGGCUGGAUCAUCAGGAUACUUGCUCCACUUGUGAUCAGGUGCUUGAGUCUGCCCACCACCUGAUAUUCGCCAAGCAGGUCUAGACUGCAUACCAAAAUACGAGACCACUGGCAAGCCAGGCAGAGCUGCACUCAACCUCUGUUGGGACUUGGGACCUGGUGGGAGACGAUCCUGCCUCUCAGGGAAAAAGGACAGGGCACUGAUGAUUGCACCUUCUCAGCUUACGUGGCAUGCAUGGAACCUCUGGAAUGAGCGAAAUCGAAGAGUUUUCAGAAAUCAGCAAAAGAACCCUGUGUGUGUUCGAAGAUUAACGAUGAGAUCAGCCUCUUUGAUGAGGCAUGGGAGAGCAAUAGUUUUUUUUUCUUUUGAACUGUACAGCCAGGCAGCUGAGGCAGGCCUUGCUUGUACUGGGUCUUUUAUUCUUUUUUCAGCUUUUCCUAGUAGCUUCACUACUACUGUAAAGUAUUUCCCCCUCCUUAAAUGAAAAGGCAGAGCACCUGCCGUUCCGGUCAAAAAAAAAUGUCAACUGUGUUGGUCAGUGGAUCUAGCUAGAGCCUUACUGCAGAACACAUGGCAGCAUAGGUAUAUUUGUCAUAACCGAGGUUAGCAUCUGUGGCUGCGUGCUGUUUUACUGCCUCGGAAAGUGGUGCUUCGCGGCCUUUUAGGCGCAAUUCCACCAUGGAUCAUGUCAUGCCCAGAGUUUACAUGCUGAAGUUCUGUUAUUAGUUUCUUGGAAAGUAUAAAAAGCUGAUCUUGUGACAGUUUCCUGGGCUGGCACGCUGUCACGUGAGCGCCUCGUCCUCAUGUAAUCCGUUUUGCUUGCCAUAUCCACUGAAAGCACCGAAAACAAAGUGAUACGUUAUUUACUGAAUCUUGUGAACUCAAACUGCAAACUUAAUCUUUUCAUCUCCUUGACUUGAGAAGGAACUCUGUGGGGACUUUGGUAAUCCCUAGUAAGAUAUGCAUUGUGCAGUCUGCAGUUCAUUACAAGAUUGCGUGAAGAAACAUUUGCAAAACUCCCUCGAUAUGAUAGGCCGUGCAGAAUUUCUCUGUAGCUACACUGAUGCACUUGGUAGGCCUGAACUCAUAUGUUGCGGUGUCUUGAACUGAUAUGUCAUACCUUGAUCCGUCAGAGUUCAGGACGCAUUCAGCAGCAGACGCCUAAUCGAUCUCUCCUUAAAUUUGAAUGUGCGACCCUACUGGUUGCUCACUACGUGGUUCUUGUUCAUUGUGCACUAUGCUAUCUUGUCAUCUUAUAUGGAGUUCAUUUCCUGGGGGUGCUUUGGGAUAAUUUUGCUCCAGGCAUGCUGUCCUUCUUCCGGUGAGGUUUGCAAAAACUUGUAGUAAUGACUUUGUGUUCCCCCGUUGUAAUCUUAAUCGUUUGUUUGUCAUGUUCAUGACUUGCUGGCCGCGUUUGGAAGCCCUGUAAGUACCAUAUUAUAGCUCUGAUCUCUUUGGUUUAUCUAUAAGAUUCAACCCAAAUAAACUCUAAACCGGCUAAGUUUCAACCCUCAACCAUGAGAACCGGCUAAUUUUUCUUGUCUCAGCUUGAACCUUCUUGUUCAAUUCUGCUUCUUCUUUCUUCUUGGCAGUUCUCUCCAAUGUAGCCAACCUUCUUCUCUCUGCAAGCUCAGCUUUCCUCUGUGCAACCUCAUGUUUCCUUUUUGCUAUCUCUGCAGCUCUCUUCAAUUCCUCUUCUCUUCUAGAUGCAAGUAUUGCCUUCUUCCUCUCCUCUACUUCCCUAUCUUUCUGAUUCUUCAUGGCCUCCAAUUUCUGUACCAACUCACCUGGCCUUAUGGUGCUUGAACUAGCUUGGCUCCCUUGGCUUCCAUUACUCUGGUUGAGCAGCACUUGGGCAGCAGUAAGGAAAGCAGAAGCAGGUACUGGCCUUUGUUCAACAACCCUUGUUGUUGGCAUCUACGAAGAAUGUACAUUUGAUGAGAAUAAUAGGAUAUUCAUGUACAAAGAAUGUACAUUUGAUGAGGAGAUCAGUAGUACCUGGGCAAUCAUGUUGUCAACCAUGAGAUCACCACAUGCAGGAGCCACAUUUGUAGGAGUCACAUUGGCACCAACAACACCUUCAUUUGGAGGAGUGGCAUUGACAGCAGCAGUACCUUCAUUUGGAGGAGGCACAUUGACACCAGCAUUACCUUCAUUUGGAGGAGGCACAUUUGAAGAUGGUUGAUCAUUUGGUGGAGGCACAUUAGGUGGUGGCAGUCCAGCCUUCAAGGUCUUGCACCCCUUCCUGUUGUGAUCUGCAUCACCACAAAGAACAAUGCAUAAUGACACCAUGCCUUGUGAUUUUCUUCCCUCCCCUCCUAUGAUCAACCUCUCCAGGUGCCUGUCUCCUUGUAGUACAUGGCCUUCCAACAUGCUUCUGGUACAAUGGUGGCAUUAUUGGAGGCCCAUGUAAGUCUUCCCAUUCACUCCUAUCUCUACAAGGAUAGAUAAUAUUGCCAUAUGCUUUCUUGAACACAUGUUUUGAGUAGCAAUGAUCAACCAUGUUCAAAGGAUCAACUCUAUCAUUCCUGCAGCAGGCUACCACAUGAGAGCAUGGAAUGCCUGCUUUCUGCAUUCUUCUACAUGUGCAGGUUUUCUUGUGCAUGUCCACUAUGUAAUCCAUUCCUCUAUCACCUGCUAGGAAUAAGCCAUCUCCUGAUCCCUCCACAUAGCAUGUGUUUGCAAAUUCUGUUACCUUUUCAACCUUCUUCCUGAUCUUUGGACAUACAUCUCCUUGCCAUUUAUCUGACUCCAGCUGUUUGUUGUAAUGCCUUGUCAUAAGUUGCAUGUAAAUCCUGUCAACCAUGAUCAGUAUUGGUAGUUCCCUUGCUUCCAGGAUAUACCUGCAUUUAACAGCAAACCAUGGUAAGUAUUGGUAAUUCACUACAUUGAAAAGCAUUUUGGCAAACUUCACAAAUGUACCUGUUGAAAACUUCACAAAUGUUGUUAAGCAGAAUAUCACAUUUUGGCAAGUCACUUUGAAAAGCCUUAACCCAAGUUUGUGGUUCUAGCUCAUGCAGCCAUUUGUAUGCCUUAACAUUAAGAACCUUCAUCUCCUCCAUGCCCUGUUCAUACAACUGCACUGUAUUGCUCCUAGCUAUCUUCCAGAGUUGAUUCUUCAAGAUGUCACCUUUGAAAUGUUGUUGAAAGUUUUGCCACAUGUGCCUAACACAAUAUCUGUGUUCUGACUCAGGGAACAGUCCUUCAACUGCAUUGAUGAGCCCCUACAAUUGCAAAGCAACAUAACCAUUCAGAAGCUAUUCACAACCAUUCACAUAGUAAUUACACAUAAACUUUGAAAAAAAAGAUGGUACUUACCUUUUGUUUGUCUGACAUGAUAGUCCAAGGUUCAGUGUUUAUGAUGCCUAGGUCCCUUUUGAGUGUGUCAAGAAACCAUGACCAGUUAGGGGUGUCCUUAACUUCAACCACAGCAAUGGCAAUUGGAAAUAUGCAGUUAUUUGGAUCUACCCCAACAGCUGCAAGCAGUUGUCCUCUGUAUCUAGUUUUAAUGUGGCAACCAUCUAGGAAGAUGACUGGUCUACAACCCUCCAGAAAUCCUCUCUUGCAAGCAUAUAGACACAUGUACAACUUGCUGAACCUAGCAUUUUCAUCUAAUGAAACAUAGAAGGAUGAGCCAGGGUUGCUUCUCCUUACCUCAUUAGCAUAAUUCCAUAGCAGCUUGUACUGCCCUUCCUCAUCACCAUAAAUAAUUUUUAUAGCCAUUCUCCUUGCUCUUUGAAGUUUCAUCCUAGUGGGUGUCAUAUGCCAUUCUUUCUGAACAACCCUUGAGAAAUUCAUCAAGUUCAUAUCUUGAUCAGCCCUAAAGCUCUCUAGGUAUUUCAUUGCUAGGAAUCUUGGUGUGAAAGCCCUAAUCUUCCACUUCUUGCUGCAUGUGUGCUCAUGCACAUAUCUCUUCACCAUGAAAGCCUUAGUUCUGCUAUCAUAUGAUGCCCACAAGUACCAUGUGCAGUCUUCAUCACAUUUUGCUUUCACUCUUUUCCUAUCAUUCACAGGAAGCUUGAUAUCAGCUCUGUUCUGGCAGGAGUACUCUUUAAUUGCUUUCUUAGAAGCUCCACACUCUCAAAAACCUGCCCUACAUGGAAUUUUGGCCUAUGAAGAUCCUCUGGUCUGAAAGUUUUGAACUUUAAAUGCAUUUCCUCAUCAUCAGAAUCAGGUGCCCACAAAUCUUCACCUUCAGACAAGUCUUCAUCUGAAUUGUACUGCUGCUUGCUUUUGUCUUCAUCUGUAGGUUUCACAUGCUUGACUUUCUCCUUUGAAUUGUUCUUAUGGUUCUGUUCUGGUUCAUCCUCAUCAACAUUAUCUGCAAACAAGUCAUCAUCAUCAUUUCCUAUCUCAUUGUCACUGUCCACAAGUACACCUGGGUCAUAGUCCUCAUCAUCUGUAUCACUUGCAUCAUCCUCUGCUUCCAUAUCAUGACUGCUUUUGAUCCUCCUACUUGAUGUGCUUCCUCCAACAUCCUCAUUUGCAACAGCUUCUGCAUCUUUCCCUGCUUCAACUUCAGGGUAUACAACCUGGAGAGGAGUAGGUGCUGCCUCUGGUUCUGCCUCUGCUUCCCCUGUUUUUGCAGUCAUGCUGCUGCCCACUCUUUUUGCAGGACUAAAUACUGGAGGCAAAGUGGCUCUAGGAUAGUUCACAACAUCAUCCUCACUUAGGUUUGCUUGUAAGCUCUCAUCAUGAUCAAGAUAUAUACUAAAGGAGUGGUGCCCAAUAUCAAUAAACAUCAACAUUCUAUCUGUUUGCUCAUCAUCACUAAGCUGCUUGAGACCAUUAUUACUGAGUGUAAGGAUGGUUGACACAAUAGUAUACCUUCAACCUCCCUGCCAUCUCAUAACCAAUCUCCUCAACAAGGUGUUCAAUCAUAAUUGGUGACCAAGUGACCUUCUCCAGAUUAUCGUACCAAAUGGCACGACCAUUAACAUAAGCACGAUUACUUCCAUGCCCAACAAAAAAUCCACCAUGGUUGAUUUGCACAGAGAAGUUGGUGCUUCGAGGGCCUGAUACACAAGACAGAAACAUCAUGCAUCAUAAUUGACUCUAGCAUCAUUUCAUUCGAGUUUCUAAAACCCUAACCCCCAAAGACCAUCAAAUCCAAUACCGAAACCAUCGAAACUACCAGCUGCAUACCAUCUAUAAUGACAAUGCGGGCCAAAAAGGAGUGUCUUUGAACAUCAAAAUGCAAAAAAAGUCGGAUUUAUGCAAGAUGAAACUUACUGUACACGGGGGGAGGCGCCCCUUCUGCGCGACGAACAGGGGCCAUCGCCACCACCUACCACCGGUGGAAUUGACGCGGCGGCGGCGCCUCUCCAGCCACGGAAGAAAUCAGCACGCGGCGGCGCCUGUAGGCCGAUGAUCGCCGGGGCGGCGACGCCUAUGCAGCGCCUUCCCUGUCUCCAAUCGAAGACGAAGAGGCGUCGUCAGAUAGAGGAGCGGGGCGGACAGCGGUGGUGUGGUGGGGCGAUUUUACACUUAAUCCCUCGCCGCAAGAUUGGCCUAAUCGGAGCUGAGAACGUGGCGGUCAACAGGUGGUCAAAGGAGCGGCUACUCACCGCAUACGACCAACAGUGACCGUACAUUCACGUCACAUCGUAUAUAGUGACCGUAACAGCCGUAUUUCUAAGUUCAGUGACUGUAUCGGGCUCUCGUCGCAACUACAAUGACCGUGAGUGUAAGACAAUAAGUUUUGGGGGAACCAGCACAACCCUCUAGGGGUGGCUUAUCUCAUUAUAUAUAAUGGAUGUGUUACAAUAUGUACAAUAUACGUACAUAAGUACAGAAGCUAUACAUAGUCUAACACCCUCCCUCAAUCUUAGCCACUUUCUAAAGAACUGAGAAGGGUAAGAUUGCGCCUACAAGCCUCAAACUGUGGCAGAGGUAAAGGCUUAGUGAAGAUGUCUGCAAGUUGAUCCUUAGAUGAGAUAAACUUGAUCUGGAGUUGCUUCUGUGAUACACGUUCCCGUACAAAGUGAUAAUCAACUUCAAUGUGUUUCGUUCGGGCAUGAAAUACUGGAUUUGCAGAAAGGUAUGUAGCACCGAUGUUAUCACACCAAAGAAUAGGAGGCUGUGGUUGAGACAAACCCAACUCCUGAAGCAAAGACUGCACCCAAAUAAUCUCUGUAGUAGCAUUAGCCACAACCUUGUACUCAGCUUCAGUACUGCUACGUGACACAGUAGCCUGUUUCCGAGCACUCCAGGCGAUCAAAUUAGGGCCAAAGAAUACUGCAUAACCCCCCGUGGAUCGCCUGUCAUCUGGGCUACCAGCCCAAUCUGCAUCAGAGAAGGCCGAAAGGACCCGAGAGGAAGUCGGCCGAAUAUGCAUACCAAAUGUCAGGGUGAACUGAACAUAACGAAGAAUGCGUUUAACAGCAGCCCAAUGAGUAUCUCUGGGAGCCUGAAGAUACUGACAAACCCUGUUAACAGCAUAAGAGAUAUCCGGUCUCGUGAUCGUCAAGUACUGAAGUCCACCAACAAUGCUCCUGUACUCUGUGGCAUCCGCAGGAGACAAAAGCUCACCAUCAACAGCUGUUAUCUUGUCGGUAGACGACAUGGGUGUGGUGGUCGGUUUGCACUUCAGCAUGCCCGCUCUUUGUAACAACUCCAAGGAGUACUUCUUCUGCGUAAGGACAAGACCAGUAGCACGAGAAGUGACCUCAACUCCAAGAAAGUAGUGAAGCUUCCCAAGAUCUUUGACCGCAAAAUCAGCACCAAGAGAGCAGACAAGAGCAUCAGCAGCAUACUGAGAAGAGCUGACAAGGAUAAUAUCAUCGACAUAUACCAAAAGAUACAUAGUGACUUCUGGCUUCUGUAGAAGAAAUAAUGAAGUGUCAGCAGUGGACGGCACAAACCCAUGAGCACGAAGGGCAGAGGCAAGGCGGGCAUGCCAGGCACGAGGAGCUUGCUUCAAACCAUAUAGUGCUUUGGAGAGACGACAGAUAUAGUCAGGACGAUCAGGAUCAGAGAAACCAGGCGGUUGUUUCAUAUAAACCUCUUCCUCCAAAAAUCCAUGUAGAAAAGCAUUCUGCACAUCAAGUUGACGAAGUGACCAACCACGAGAAACAGCAAUGGAGAGAAGAAGCCGAAUAGUGGUAGGCUUGACGACAGGACUGAAGGUGUCCUCAUAGUCAAGACCAUGGCGCUGCCGAAAACCGCGAGCAACAAGUCGCGCUUUGUAACGCUCAAUAGAUCCAUCCGAAUGCUUCUUCACUUUGAAUACCCAUUUUGAGUCAAUAACAUUUACCCGUGGUGGUGGAGGAACGAGAGUCCAUGUCUUGUUACGAAGGAGAGCAUCAAACUCCUGCUCCAUAGCCUCUCGCCAAUGUGGAAUGCGCAGGGCAGCCUGAUAUGAGCGAGGCUCAGAAGAUGGAUCCGCAACAGCAGCAGCCAAACAAGCAGCCAACCAAGCAACCGUACCAUCCUUACGUUCCUUAGGUUUGAAAAUGCCACUGCGACUGCGUGUAUGUGGUCGGGACACAGGAACCACCGAGGUCGACGGAGCAGCCUGCAACGGGCUGGAGGACGGCGACGUUGACGAGUCAGCCGGUGACGAGGAGCCAGACACGGUAGCCUCGGGCUCGGUCGGCGAAGAAGGCCGGCCCACCGGCGAAACCGGCAGAGCAGACGAAGCAGUUGGCGACGCCGGCGUCACAGACCGGGCCGAUGGCGAGCCCGGCAUAGUGGGCUGUGGCGCGGCCGGUGUCGCGGGCCGAUCCGCGGAUGAAGGCGACGUGAGGACGGCGUCGCGGACCCGAGCUGCAGGCGAAGACGGCGUGACGGGCCGAGCCGCGGGCGAAGACGGCGUGACAGGCCGAGCCGCUGAAGACUCGGCGGCCGCUGGCGAAGAGGGCCGAGCCGCUGGAUACUCGGCGGUCGCUGGCGUAGCGGACCGAGCAGUGGAGAUGCUCGGCGCGACGGGCUCUUCGGGUGACCAUGCAUGGGCACGCGAAUCGAUGCCAUGCAACAUAGGGCGAUCGACGUGCCCAUCAGAAGGCGGCGAUGAUGAUGGUGAAUCCUCCAACAGCUCCAAACGAGCCCCACGUCCGGUUCCUACACCAUGGUUAGGUAACAGCAAAGGAGAGUAUGCAACAUCAUCAAAUUGGUCAGAAGCAACAGAGGAUGAAUGCAGAGAUGGUGGUUCGAUAGUGGACACAGGAAGUUUGGCAAAGGGAAAAACAUGCUCAUCAAACACGACGUCCCGAGAUAUAUAGACACGAUUAGUGGGAACAUGAAGACAUUUGUAACCUUUAUGAAGAGAGCUAUAGCCAAGAAAAACACACUUCUUAGAACGAAACUCAAGCUUGCGCUUAUUAUAUGGACGAAGAUGCGGCCAGCAAGCACACCCAAAUACCUUGAAAAAGGUAUAAUCAGGUUGUUCAUUAAGGAGAACCUCAAUGGGAGUCUUCAUGUUUAAAACACGAGUGGGAGUACGGUUGAUGAGAAAGCAUGCAGUGGUGAAAGCAUCACUCCAAAACCGAAACGGAAUAGAUGCAUGGGCCAAAAGAGUAAGACCAGCUUCAACAAUAUGACGAUGCUUACGUUCGACUGAACCAUUCUGCUGAUGUGUAUGUGGACAUGCUAAACGAUGAGCUAUCCCAAGCGACUGAAAGAAGGAGUUGAGGUUNNNNNNNNNNNNNNNNNNNNNNNNNNNNNNNNNNNNNNNNNNNNNNNNNNNNNNNNNNNNNNNNACUGGACAUGAACAAUUUUGUGCUUGAGAAGACGUUCAACAUGUUUUUGAAACUGAACAAAAAUAUCAAACGCAUCAGAUUUGCGUUUAAUAAGGUAAAGCCAGGUAAAGCGACUAUAAGCAUCAACGAAACUGAUAUAGUAAUUAUGACCACUGACAGAAGUCUGAGCAGGACCCCAUACAUCUGAAAACACAAGUUCUAAAGGAUGUUUCACCUCACGACUGGACUACGAAAAAGGAAGUUGAUGACUCUUCCCCUGCUGACAAGCAUCACACACUGCUACAUCUUUAUUACUAGACAAACUAGGAAGCUCAUGACGAUGCAAAAUAUGACGGACAAUAGGUGUGGCGGGGUGACCAAGACGAGCAUGCCACUGUGACGGAGAGACCCGAACUCCACUGAAAACACGGGCGACGCCAGGAUGCUCCAGACGGUAGAGGCCCUGGCACAACCGCCCACUAAGAAAAAUGUCCCUCGUGCCCCGAUCCUUAAUAAAAAGAUCAAAAGGGUGAAAUUCACAAAGCACAUUAUUAUCACGUGUGAGUUUAGGAACUGAAAGAAGAUUACGGGUCACAGAUGGAACUCGAAGAACAUUGCGAAGCUGAAGACUCCUAUUGGCAUGUCUAGUGAGAAGAGAUGCUUGACCAAUAUGAGAGAUGUGCAUACCUGCUCCAUUGGCGGUGUGGAUCUUGUCGGAGCCAUGAUAGGGUUCACGAGUGUGAAGCUUCCCCAUCUCGCUGGUCAGAUGCUCUGUCGCCCCAGAGUCCAUGUACCAGUGUGGAUCGAUGGAGUAGGACUGAGUGUGUCCCUGUUGCUUCUGCGGCGCGGGACGAUCAGCCAUGGCGACCUGAUGGGCAUUGUUGCGUGUAUCUUUGCCGUCAUUGCCAAGACCAAGGAAGCUUCGCUGGAAGCGCUUAUGACACUUGGAGGCCCAGUGCCCAUCGCGGCCACAAAGCUGGCACACACGUGGACCGCCAGCCCCCGGUAAGGUCGCAGUAGGUGGGGGGGCCGAGGCGGGCGACGGUGGCAGCCCCAAGGGAGACCGGGGUGAUGAAGAAGAGCGGCCACCCUUGGUGGCGGCGUUGGCCGAGAGGGAGCCAGUGCCCCUGGAGCGGCGUGUCUCGACCCGUUGCUCAGUGAGAAGGAGCCGAGAGAAAACCUCGUGUGCCAGCAUGGGUGUCGAGUUGCCCCGCUCGUUGAUGAUCUCGACUAAGGCAUCAUACUCCUCAUCAAGACCAUUGACAAUAAACGAGUUGAACUCGGAGUCGGUGAGGGGCUGUCCAAUGGAGGCCAAUGUGUCGGCGAGGCCCUUGACCUUGUUGUAGAACUCAGUGGCAGUGGAGUCAAGCUUCUAACACUCUCCAAGCUGACGACGGAGUGCAUAGACACGAGCCUGGGACUGCGCUGCAAAGGUUCGCUCAAGAAUGGUCCAGGCCUCAUGAGACGUCUUCGCGAAGACAACAAGUCCGGCAACUGCCGGCGAGAGCGACCCCUGGAUGGAGGAGAGGUUCGCCUGGUCCUGCCCCGUCCAGACGCGAUGGGCCGGAUUAUAGACCGGACCGUGCACGCUGUCUACCAGUGCGGGUGGGCAGGGAAGCGAUCCGUCGACGUAGCCUAGCAGGUAGUGACUCCCCAAGAGCGGGAGAACCUGCGCACGCCAGAAGAUGUAGUUGUCGGCGGAGAGCUUGAUGGUGAUGAGAUGACCGAAGUGAAACGGCGGCGGCGAAGACGAUCCCAUCGAGGGGGCUGCCUGGGGUGCAAACACCAUGGAGGCAGCCGGAGGCACCGAAGCCGAUGCGGGAGGAGGCGGGACCGCAGCCAGGGCGGACAUCGCAAAGCUCGCGGCCGGGUCGGACACCGCAAGGCCCGCGGCCGGGGCGGACGCCGCCAACCCUGCCAGCGGGGCGGUGUGAUCCGCUUGCGGCAGGAGCGGCGGGACGACGCCCGCGGAGUCCGCAGCGGACGGCGGCGCCGUGGUGUGGACCACGAGGUCGCGCCCAAGCGAGGGCGCCGGCGGCGUGGAGUAGACGGAGCCGAUGCUCCUGGUCCCGAUCGGAGCCGGAACGGCGACGGCAUCGAGCGGGAGGUUGAGCAGAGCCGCAAGAGAGGCCGGGAGGAACCCCGCAGCAGUGGAACCGGUGGUGGCGGCGCUCGACAUGGCGGCGGUGAAGGCGGCGGCGGCUGCGGCUGCGGCGGCGGUGCGGGUAUUAGGGUUUGGAAGCGGAAGCGAUCGUAACCUAGCGUGAUAACAUGUAAGACAAUAAGUUUUGGGGGAACCAGCACAACCCUCUAGGGGUGGCUUAUCUCAUUAUAUAUAAUGGAUGUGUUACAAUAUGUACAAUAUACGUACAUAAGUACAGAAGCUAUACAUAGUCUAACAGUGAGGGUAUUUAUCUCCGAAUUAAAACUCGGGUUGAUUCCAGUGUCCACUGCAUGCAUCGAUCCCCGAUUUGAUCCCCGCACGUCGUUAGUCAUUACUCGAUCGGUUGGUGAUCGACUUUGCAUCGGCUGGUGGUCGAUCGCAUCGUCGUAGGUUCCACGCCGUACAUGCCCUUUGCUAGGGAGCCUACAUAAGUCAGAGCGUAACUGAUUCUCCGUCUUUCAUUUCCGCGAGUGCGGUGCGCCAGCCGGGCAUUAAUAUACCAGUGCAACAAGAGUUGGAGCUCGCAGCGUGGAUUGGCCUGGCUGGUUACCAACUCUUAUAGCAUCUCCAAUGCCGAAUCUCAAAUCGCUCGUCAUCGUCUAGACCGAGCUGUCUAAAGGGCAUUUUGUCAAUCCAACGUGGCACCUCAUCGGUCCAUAGAGUAGUUCAAACGUCUACUUUUCCACAAGCGGACGCAAACCAGGGGCUUUGCGGGCGUCUAGACCGCUGCCACGUACCCGGCCGCCAACCCGGUCCCACCCAAAUCCUCUCCCACGCCCGCACACUCUAACCUGCAAAGCGGUUGCCGCGCAUUCAUGCCGGUCCAGAGUGCCAACGCCUCAUGCAGGCCGGCCUAGAGCGGAUACAACCUCUUACUGCAGCAGCAGUUAUUGAAGCGGCAUGUCAGCAAAAGGCGUUGCCUAUUCUCCGUGCAUGUUCCAAUACCGGAGACGCGUGACCUGGCGGGGCUGGACGACUGUGCACCGCAUUCAAACUGGAUCUCGCUCAUCUUCUUGUCAGCAUUAAACUGGUGCGGCAGCAGAGAAACCUACUCCGGCACCCGUAUUGGAACACCACGCCACGUGUCCCGAAUGGUGUAGCUAUUUAAACGCUGCCUCCUCCCCUUGCACGACCAGCACGACCACACCACGUCAUCCAUGACCACGAGCUGUAGACAUAUGUGGGAGAGCCUCAUGAUGGAGUAGAAGGAAGAGUUGGCCUGCAUUGGGGCCGACCGGGUGGCCCGUCGUGCGCGACAGACUGAGGAUGGCUUGCCAGCUAGCUCGUCGGAGGUUAGCGAAGAGGAGGCGUCUGACGAUGAUCUGAUGCCCUAGCCUGCGUAGUUGCACUUCAAUGUCAUUGUGGCUGAAAAGCAGCCAGUGUCACCUGUCACGGCGUCCCAACAGGAACCGGGGACGGGGCAGCACUACACCCUCUGGCUCCUUGACGAGCACCGGAUCGCGGGGGCGGGGAGGGGAGGCAAAUCAUCGACGAGCAGGCGAAUGACGAUGUCAUCAAGGCAUGGUCACGGAGGAACCGAGCUUCUUGGAUGAGCAGUGGGCGUUGGACAAGUUCAUGCGGGAUUGCAACUGCGUAUCCAGCGGGCGAACAUAUAUGCCUUGUUCACGGAUAUCGACGCGGUGGCAGAGGAAGAGGUUGCGCAGGCAACCGCGGACAUCGCUAGCUCCGCAUCGGCCAUGCCACCACUGCGGUUCGCGCCCCGCCACAAUGACCAAGACCCGACCUUGCACGUCCAGUGCCAUCGAUAUGGCGGACAACGGCAUGGAAAAGUAGAACAUGGAAGGCCACCAUGGCUUGAGUCCCAGGAAGACCACUGCCCACGUCUUGUCGGGGAUCACAACUCGUUAGCUUGUCGGACAUGGUGAAGACUGCCAUGGGAACGGACGCCACUGUGGCUGGCGAUCAUUUAGACUAGGUUAAAAAAGUCUAGUCCGCUAUAGUUUAGUUGAAAUAUGGUGAAAUGUAAUGAUUUUGAUCCGAUUUAGAUGAAAAUCAUCCAGUUUGCAUGAAUGUUAUCUGGUUUAUUCAAAUUCACUUCAAAAAUGUAUGCGGGAACGGUUGGAUAUCCGGCUCCCAUAUCACUUUUUCCGGACGCAUCUGGGCGCGUCGGCAGACGAUUAUUGUGUCCUUUUUAGGGGUUCGCAGUGGAGCUGCCCUUAUGUGGCUUUUAUAUUCGUUCCAAAGGGCCUUUAGAAGGAAAACUAAUGUCUCCAGAGUAAAUGUGCACAGUCAGGUUUCAUAAGCUGUAGCAUCAUUUCCUCUCCUGUUUCUCUCAUUUACUUUGUUGUUUAUAUCGCUCCAUUUAACAUCCAAUUUCAAAGGAAGAUGACACAAACUUUUAGGUGUUGAGCGUCACACAAUUUCACAAAAUUUGCAAUACAUUAAUCUCAAAAUGUCAAACUCAAGUCCAAAUGUGACUACAUAUAACCAUGCAUAGAUAGUUUCCGAAUGUGACAUAGACAUGGAUAGGUUCUAAGACAUACUGCAAAUAUCUAAGGACGCAAUGGGACGACAUAGCAUGGAUUGUGCUCGUCAUAGGAGUAGGAGAAAGAUAUUUCCAUGAUCAUGGCGGCAGCCGCCUGGGCAGCCCUCAUCCGUCCAUCCCGCUUGGCCCAGGCGGCGGUCUCGAAGGUGUAAGGCUCUGUUGUAUCCUUGAGCAUAUGCUCAUGUUUGGCCAAGCGUGGGCCUUAGUGGUGGAAGUGGAGGCCUCUAUCGCCUUCUGGAGCCUCCUCUCCUCUUCGGCCAUGGUCAUGCCAUCCUCAUUGGCCGACUCGACGAGAUUAUCCCAAGUGAUCUCGUCAUGGGAGUCCUGGGGAGGCAGGAGGGCCUGGACAUCAAGGGGAACUGAAAAGUGCACCUAUUGCCUUUAGUAGGUUUUGAUGAUAUAUGAUAGCUUGAUUAACAGUACUAAUGUUUUCUCUCAGUGUUUAUCAUCUUAUGUCCCAAAAGAUGCGAUUUCAUAGUAUUUAGUGAUCGAAUAUCACUUUGGAUCCAAAGACAUGCCAAUAUUAUCAAAGGGGGAUUCAGGUAUGUGUGAUAAAGUUUUUUUUGAAAGUUCUUGAAGAUCGGACUUUGAAAAGGUCAGAAGUCUCAUAAAAUCGAGUAGGAGUGAAAUCGGAUCAGAUUCAGACGGAUAAUGUGCAUGCCAUACCCUAUUCUGUUUUUUGGAUUUGAAAGCAAGACAAAUGUGGUAUGGAUGCAGAUUCGAAUACCGGAUUAUGUUGGAUUCAGACAUGGUACGGUGACAAAUCGGACACAGAUCAGAAACAGACAUACUACAUGCAUAUAUGACGAAUAUAUACAUGCUCUAAACUAAAAUUAUACAUAAAACCAAAGUAAAUAUUAGUAAUUAUACACUUAACACAUAAAGCACUAGAAGGUACUAAAGUAAUCCAAAUAAAAUAUAAGAAGCACAUAUCUAAUGUCAUAAGCAUAUAAAUACAAGUAUUGCUAGUUAAUAUUUAAAACUGUACCAAUUAAUUAUAUAACCAUAUUUAAAAGUUUGGAUUAUCCAUAUAAAAAGGAUUAUCAUAACCAUGGCAUAUUAGUAAGGGCAUCUCCAAAGCGUACCCUCAAACCUCCCCUAUAUGUCCUGGCCACAGUUCUGGAACACUUUUGUCAUCCAAUGGGAACCUAUAUAUGUCCGCUGAGCAGUCCGUACGUACGAAUUCCGGCAUCCUAGUAACAAAUGUGGAGGGGGAGGGGGGUUUGCCGGAGUCCGGACAUGCACUUGACCAACACAAAGCCUCCGGUCUUCCUCUCUUUUCUCUCUAUCUUCACAUGCAUGGCCCCCCUCCCCUCAUUCUCUUCCGAACCAGAUACCACACCACAAUAUCCCAUCAAAAGUAUCUGCAUGCAUGGUAUCCCCUUUUUGUCUCUCCUCCCAACCGGACAAAUAUAGAUUAAUUUGUGAAUAGCGUUGGAUGGCUCACAUGAAAAUCAUAGAUUAACUUUAUCAUAAGCUUUCUCAUACUGAAUUAUAAAAACCAAGCAUCUCUGCUUCGAAGUCAAAAUGGAAUGCACGGUGUUCCUCGUAAUAUUGCGUCUUCAUGGAAAAUGACAACGGUUGGGAAAGGGUGUACUUCGCAAUUGAUUAUAGCUUGAUUCAUACAUAGUAACUUCUUACAAAAAUUGGCAGAAAUAUUACAAACCUUGGUAAAGAAACACCAACACCCACACACUUGUCUGACACACUGACCCCUGACCCUCAUAACACUUAUUCUGAAGUCAUUAUGCAAAUAUUGAAAAACAGGGUAGGGAAUGAUAAAAGGCUAAACCAACCGUGCAUGCGGCGAUCAUAAAUAGCAACGUCACCCAGAGCACGAAACCAUGGGGAUUUCAGUGCUGGCCCGGAAGGUGGUAGAGACUGGAUCACUGGAGUCAGUGGUGUCCAUGGUAUCCACCGCCACCGCCACCGCCGUAGGUGGGCAUGGGAGGGACGGGAUGGUAGUCUGGGUGGGGCUGCGGCUUCGGCUCCGGCUUGGCCGCUUGGGCACGGGGUGGUAGUCCGGGUGAGGCUGGGGCUUGGGCUCCGGCUUCGGUGGCACGGGCUUCUUGUGGUGGAAGUGCUCGAUGAUGUGCUUCUUGAUUGUCCCGCACAGGGUCAUGGACGCACACUCGAGCGACGCCACGGAUGGCGUGGCGGUAUUGGCGCCGGCGAUGACACCGAAGGUGGUGCCCUCGGACACCGGCACGAUCUUGGAUGGCUCCUGGCCAGGGCACGGCGCGUUGGAUGCGGCGCUAUGGAGCUGAGCCAUGCAGUCGGCGCCAUGGAGGUCAGAAGCGAGGGGCACGCUGAAGGCGCCGGUGCCGUCGAGGGCACCCACCGCCUUGCUUGCUCUCGUAGUCGCCGUAGACGUUCUUGCACCUGAUCGCCACCUGGAGACCUGAGGUACGUUGACGGCAGAGGACAACCAUGAGCCGAUCUCCAUCUAUAUAGGUGUGUAUUUCGGGUGUGUAUAUAGUAGUAGUACGAUUGAGCUGCAUAUGUAGCUUACCCUUGAAGGCUUCCUCGGCCUUGAUGUUCUUCCUGGUGCAGUCGGCGCACUUGGCCAGACCGACGACGACGGACGCCGCCUCGGCGUUGGAAACGGCGGUCGCCAGGAGGACGGUGAGGACCAGUGCUCUCGUUGGAGCCGCCAUGUUUUUUUUUAGAAUGAAGGCUCGCGAAGAGCCCGACUUUGAAUUAACAAAACCAUCAACUGGCCAGGAAUUACAGACAAACAACAGACCACAUCGGCCCAACAAUACAAGGGAGCAUUCUAGGGAGCUUACAACUCAACGCCGCGCACAAGCUUGAAAGAAAAAUUAAAACAAAGCCCAUAGCUUGCACUAGCAGAAGACCGCAACAAACAGUACCGAGGGAAGCGACCAUCAAGCAGGAUUGAGGACCUGCUAAAACAGAGUGUGGGCAUGAACUGAACUGACGCCCAGGAUGAAGAGAUCGAAGCAUCUUCCUCCUCUCGUGCCGCCAUGUCUGAACCCGUGAAUCGAACUCAGCUUGCCUGUGUGAAGUGGCUGAUGGAUGAAUGGAUGGAACAGGCGACGCAUGGCUUUUAUAGGCCGCCGCAUUGAUCGGCGCAGCUCGAUGGGUGGUGUGGUGGCCGGCGAAGUGAUGCGUGACAACGAGAGGCCGGCUAACUCACCGAAAUUUCAGAUGGCGAGUUGAAUACCGCGCCGGCUGGAUGAUCGGAUCGGUCGGUGCGUGUGCCUCCACGUCGCUAUUGGUGAUCAACUUGGUUUGGUGGUGGAGUACGUAGGUAGGCACGGGCCGCGUCUCUCGGCAUGCACAUGCAUUUGCGUGAGUGCGUGCAUGCAUGCAUGCAGCGUAAGUUCGUAGUAGUACCCUGUUUGCUGGUGGUAAGCUGGUGUUGGAUCGACAUCAAAAUUGCUGUAAAGUGUAUGUCCAUUUUGGGGAGUAGGGAGCUUGCGGUACAGUACCAGUGAGCACUGCUUUGUUGUUCACAAGUAGAAUGUUGUGAAAAUAUGAGCAGCUUUCAGUUAUGUUUAAUCCACGAAAAAACAGAUAGAAGAUGAUCAACAUAUAGUUGACAUGAUAUUCCAACAAGAGAAGUUGGUAAACAGAACAAAAGAUCGAAGGCUAAUAGUUCAAGUUCACAUGAUCCCAUACAAGGUUAGAUUUGAUCUUACCAACAACAAGUUGCAUCGGAAAAAGAGUUGCUGAAGAUCGUGUUCUUGAAGUCCCACAAACAUAACCCUCGAACUAGAACUGAACAUACAGCCCCUCUAUGGAUCGCACCCUUAGUAUGAAACCAUCGAAUUCGAGGAUGUAGCCAAGUGCUAAUUUCAAAACGGUGUAGUGUUCAUGGUUUGAGAGUUCCAGGUCUACUUGCUACUCGUUCUAUGCCACAAUAUUUUUUGGCGAAAAAUUUAUUUUCAUCUUUUUAUUCCACUUUUUGACAAGCUAGUGAAGCCAAAAAUAACCUAACAUGUUAGGAUUGACAACCUACACUUAACUAUCAAGACUAGUGGGUGUGGAAGACCCUAUAGUCAUUCAAAAGUAACAAGUACACUAGAACUCAACCUAAUUCAUAUCUCCAAUAGAAAUAUUGAACGUUGUAGUAUCAUCAUUCAUCAUUAAGACACGCUGAUCGUAGAUAGAUAGUUCCUCCCAUACUCAUGGGGAGCUUUUUUGCAAUUUACGUAUUAUGCAAACUGAAAAUAAACUAACUCAAUUUUGAGGAAAGUAAACAUAUGAAAACGGUAAAGAUGUAAGGGCUUAUAUAUGAAUCUCCCCAAGCUUAAGCACUAAACCGGCAGGAUCUAAUAAUCCCUCUCAGUCGAUGGUACCUCGGGGUUUCUUCUCCCUUGUAGUGGAAGUGUUGUAUGCAAGGGCCUGAUGGAACAACUCAUUAGUCUUCUCUAGGUCAGCGAUGUGAUGUUGGUUCAUCCGCACAAUUUCCUCUAGGUUGGCAGUGAGGCAGGCGUUGAGAGUGGACUACUGGACUUAGUGUCCUCAACAAUCUUUUUCUCCAACUGCCUGAGAUGUUCAUGCAAAGGAUCACGGUUGAUGGGUGACCCAUUAGCAUGUACCUCAAGCCAACGAAUGUGCUCGUUGAUGUUGAUAGGAUGCGGCUUCCGUGCAUAAUUGGGGUUGACGGGGUACUUCUUCUACCAUGCUCUAGGAAGCUUGACAGAUAUAUGAGCCCCAAUAUUGAUCUUCUUGCCGGUGGUGUGGUGUGACAAGUUUAUUGAUAGGUACCCUCCAACGAUAUAUGGAUGGUAUGGCCAUCCACGACGGUUGGGGUACCCUCCUUGGGGACUUCUUCCUCAGAUGAGCUAUCUCCACCUUGAUCCCACAUUCGCCAAUCAUGCUUGAGACCUCGUCCCAACGCAUCGGGAGAAGCGUCUUCCAGCUCGAAAUCCUCCUCGUGGAAUGGGCUUGAUCCAUGUGGUGGGCAUCCGCCGGCUGCAAAGGCGACCCUCCUCCUCCUGCGAGGUCAUCUGGCAUUCGUCCCAUGAGCGUGUCAUGGCCUAAGAGAUGCUUGCCUUUACAUAAAACUUAAUAUGCAACUGGAAUAGAUUGGUUUGUCAAUGGCUAAAGGAGAGCACUCCCCAAAGGUAUAUAAAGACGUAAACCCGUCAAAUAUUCAUGAGAUUAAUUUUUGGAAGAAGAUUAGGAAAUAACCAAAGAUUUUCGGGAAAGAAUAAGGUGUCGCCGCGCGAUCAGAAGAAAAGAAGUGGCGUGGUACAAGCGAUUGCGCUCAUACCAACAGACCACCGUGUCGGUGCCCUUCGGGCAAUCGCCGCUCUGGCCCACCCAGUACAAGGCACCUAUCUACUUUGCCACCAAUCAAUACGAUCAACCCGGAGUGCAGCAAUCAUCGCAGUACUCAAUUGCAUCCUUCAUCUCCGGCCACCCUCCACUCUACAUCAUCGACCACAACAAUGACUACAUGUUCACCGAGUCGCCGACACUCGUCCAGUUGCGGCUUCCGUCCAAGGAGCCCAUGUCCGACGGUGCCCAAUCACUGUUUGGCGGAAUGCCUCCCCUAAGCUCGAUGGCGGCGACUGAGCAACGAGGCAAUGAUGAACAUGAUCCUUAAUGGUGACGGCCAUGAAGAUGUACAGGUCUAUGAUGACUACUUACCGCAUCCGGAGCAAGAGACGUUGACGGACACCCGGUAGUCAUCGGUGCUCGAUGCGGACAGAAAUAAAAAGAGGGAUUUGGCGUACUCGAACAAGGAGGAUGAAUUAUUUUGUUUGAUGUGGUUAGGCACAAGUGUUGAACCGUUUCAAUGUACGGAGAAAAAGGGCUCGGCAUUUUGGCAAAGUGUGCACGAUUGGUUUCAUGGGAAAAGCAUUAUGAGCCCUACAACAAGGAAGUUGCUAAGCCAACAAUGGUACAUCAUUCAAGGGGCCAUCAACAAAGUAUCACGGUCCGUAUGCACAAAUAGAAAACUAGUGACUAAGUUGUGUGUCAACACUCCUUGAGUUCGUAACUUUUCUUCGUGAUGCUCUAUGUGUUGGUCAUUUGAUUGAUUUUCUCUAUGUUGCAACUUGUUGAUCAUGUCAUUGUAUUGCUUUGCUAGCCCGGACGGGUAGCCAUGUUGUACCACAAGAUUGAGGGCAAGCCAUUCAUGAUGAUGCAUUGUUGGUACAAGUUGAAUGCGCAAAGCAAGUGGAGCAGCAUUACCAAUUCUCUCAAGACCACCAACCCAAAGCAAGUGAUGAAGGUGGUGAUCCAAUCGGUGCAAUUUCUAGGAGGGCUUGCACUAGCCACCCAUGUGGCUAGGUCAACGGGAAAUAAAUGGGUGAAUGAGAAAGGAAGCGAGAAGGAGUGGCGGCCAAGACGACGGGGAAAUUAUAGGACAUCAUGGCGAAGUAAGAAGAGGCAUGUGCCAAGCACAAUGAGAUCAUGGAGGAAAUUGUUCGUGGAAAUCCAAAAGAAGAAGAUUGAGUUUAAGGAUAGGAAGCUUGCGGUCAAGUAAGUGUGUGAGGAGCAAAAGGUCUAGUACAUGGAGGCUGAUGACUUGGAUCACGACGCGGCCAAGCUUGUUCACGACUUGCAUGAUAGCAUGUACACACGCCUUGUGUAAAAGGAGAGGGGAAAGUAGGCCAAAAAUUGAGGCAUUUGAUAUGGACAGCCGGUUCAUUGCUUUUGGGGUCGAUAUAUAGAUGUACAAAACUUAUUGAGUAUCCGAUGAUUUUGCUAUUGGUUACAUUUUUUUGCAACCAUUUAAAUGUAUGAUCGAAUUGUUAUUGCUCUAGAAAAUUUGACAAAGAGAGAAGGCCCGACAAGUACCUAGGACAAAAUUUGAAGGACACAAUUGCAUGACACAUCCGUGAAGGACGCAAUUGCAUGACACAUCCGCCCGGACGGAUGUUGGCGGACAGGGAAAAAUGAAUGUACUUUUUUUUUGCGGUUGAAAAAAAAUGAAUGUACUUGAUUGAUCAAGAUAUAAUGAUCGAGUAACUUUUCAUUACCAAAAUUCACACCGGUAUUACAAACCUUGGGAAAAAAUGGCCCAUGACCCAUACAUUUGCCUGACACCCGUACUUAUCCCUCAGAACUGUUAUUCUGAAUGAUAGAAGACCAAGCUAACCCGUGCACAUAUAAAUAGCAACCUCAUUCACUCACUGACAGCAACAAGCCAUCUCAGUGCUGGGCGGGAGGGUGGCAGAUCGGAGUCAG